rnacentral:rRNA from 1 species
GUGGGGAAUCUUCCGCAAUGGGCGAAAGCCUGACGGAGCAACGCCGCGUGAGUGAAGAAGGCCUUCGGGUCGUAAAGCUCUGUCUUUAGGGACGAACCGCGUAUGGAGUAAUAUGCCAUACGUCUGACGGUACCUAAGGAGGAAGCUCCGGCUAACUACGUGCCAGCAGCCGCGGUAAUACGUAGGGAGCGAGCGUUGUCCGGAAUUACUGGGCGUAAAGGGCGCGUAGGCGGAGGUUUAAGUAGGGUGUGAAAACUAUGGGCUCAACCGAUAGACUGCAUCCUAAACUGAGCCUCUGGAGGGCAGGAGAGGAAAGGGGAAUUCCUAGUGUAGCGGUGAAAUGCGUAGAUAUUAGGAGGAACACCAGUGGCGAAGGCGACUUUCUGGACUGUACCUGACGCUGAGGCGCGAAAGCGUGGGGAGCGAACAGGAUUAGAAACCCUGGUAGUCC